AAUCAACAUUCUUUUCACUCGAGGCAAUUAUAAUUAUUUUGGCUCACUUCCGUAUUCGAUCCUCCUGUGAUUUUGAUGAAAUUUUAUAGGCAUGUAGUAUUUACUAAAUAUAGUCGAAUGCCACAAAAGCGAAUGUACGGAAACGGUUUUCAAAAUAUUUAAUUUUUAAUUACACGGUUUUUCAACGCAAAGCGAGGUCUACUCCUUUUUGUUUUAGGAGCGAAAUGACGUAUUGUUUAUAACUUGUUUGUUUUGAUUUUCAAUGCAUGCAGACAAAUGUCAGAAAUAUUGUAACGUUGUCAGUUAGUCAGUUAGUUUUUGACUUCACUGACAGUUAUUUCUCAACAAAGUACGCACCGUACUUUUGCGCACUUCUGCUCAGGGCGUCUUUACCGGCGGGGAUGAGGGAGGGAGGCCCCUCCUUGCACACCUCCCGUACGCGCGCGCGCGCGCGCGUGUGUGUGUGAGUGUGUGUGUGUGUGUGUGUGUGGCCGCAGCGAAAAAGUGUCGGUUAAGUGUACUUCUCAAUCAUGUUUAAUUAAUAUUUUGCUAUAUUAGUGUUUAUUUUUUGUAUGACAUAUAUUAAUGAAAUAAAACAAUUUAGUAAAAUGUGUUUUCAUUUUAGUUUUUUUUACACGAAUAUUUCAAAAAUUGUUUACAAAACCUACAUAUUAAAAGUUAAAUAUUUUAAAAACUAUCUGUUUCCGUACAUUCAUUUUUGUGGCAUUCGACUACAUUUAGUAAAUAUUACAUGACUAUAAAAUUUUAUCAAAAUCGGAGGAAGGUUGGAUACGGAAGUCUUACCCAGGACAUUACUUUUCUUUCUUUAAAAUGUUGCAUUUAGUUAUUUUUUUAUUGUAAAUUAUUACUUACAUCUUAUACAUUCUUAGGUAAUAUCGUAAAAGAAGCAAUUUUGUGUAUAUUUAUCUACUAAUUUAUUCCUCGAAAUACGAAAGCUCUCGGGUCAAUGAAAGGCUUUGGUUCAUUCAAAUGUAUCCCACUUAACGUAUUGUAAUAUCGCAUCUGGUUCAUGGAUUCUUAAAUAUAUUUGGCAAACAUCGGAUAAAGUAUUAACCCUUUGACUAUCAAGAAGUUACGUUCACUGCACACAUGCAGUACGAUACUUGGGAAACUUUAACGGUUUGUAUCUCGGGCAGAAAUUGAUGAAUUUUAUUACAUUUUUUUCAUUCCUAAGGAAAAUUUCUCAGAAUUGUUAUAAUAUAGAUUAGAAAGUCGUAUGUAUAAAGUGAAAAGAAAUAUAUUUGAUAGACUGACAAUAAAUCAAGAAAUUUUGCGCAUGUUUGAAAAUCGGUUUGGGUGUAGCUAACCCAAUGUACAGUCAGAGGGGGUGAAUUCUGUCUAAGGUUUCGCAUUUGCGCCAAAUGUAUCUUACGGAGGCACCUGCAAAUAGACGAAUGCGCAUGUAGGUACAUAGUAUGCUCCUAAUUUAAUCGAAAGUUUCUAGCAGACAUUUAACAAAGAAAUUUCCAAAGAAUUGAUAGAAAAUGAGUCGAGUCCACUAGGAUUUGAUUCAAUUUAAUUGAAAUUCGAACUAUUUACACGCUUCUAGCUCUUACUCAUCUAGAUUGAGAGAGUUGUAUGCUGUAUAUUUCAUUGUGCUCCGAAAGUCACGCACGACUGGUCAACCGAAACGCUUUACGCACAACCCCGAAGAUGAUUUAACAAUCUUUUGUUGCAAUAGCACGACUGACGCGGUAGCUUGCAUAGCGCAACAAAUAAAUAAAAUUUUGAACCCUUUUAUGUGCGUUAAAUACUAUUCAUUUUCUAAAAGUUGAUGUAUGAUGAAUAUAAAUUUUGUGAUAAUAAAUUCGUGAACGAUA
rnacentral:lncRNA from 1 species